rnacentral:rRNA from 1 species
AUUGAACGCUGGCGGCAUGCCUUACACAUGCGAGUCGAACGGUAACGGGCCUUCGGGUGCCGACGAGUGGCGAACGGGGGAGUAAUACACCGGAACGUGCCCGACCUUGGGGAUAACGAGGCGAGAGCUUUGCUAAUACCGCAUACGAACUACGGAUGAAAGCAGGGGACGGCAAGGCCUUGCGCGGACGGAGCGGCUGAUGUCAGAUUAGGUAGUUGGUGGGAUAAACGCUUAGCAAGCCGACGAUCUGUAGCUGGUCUGGGAGGAGGGUCAGCCACACUGGAACUGGGACACGGCCCCGACUCCUGCGGGAGGCAGCAGUGGGGAAUUUUAGACAGUGGGCGCAAGCCUGAUCCAGCCAUGGCGCGUGCAGGAUGGAGGCCUUCGGGUUGUAAACUGCUUUUGUACGGAACGAAAAGCCUUCUUUUAAUACAGGAGGGUCAUGACGGUACCGUAAGAAUAAGCACCGGCUAACUACGUG